CUUGCUCUGAAGAUGAUGGAGACUUUGUUUUGCAACUUUGUCUGUCAAUAUGAAAUGGACUUCUGUGACUGGAGCUUCUCUAAAUGCUUCUGAGGGCAGAGGGGACACAGACUACUCUAUCACUAGACGUUACAGCGGUACUUGGGCGUAGCUACAUUUGAAAGCCAAGGUCGUUUCUCAUGCCCAGAGAAGACAAGAUUCACCUUUCUGUGAACAUCCAGAGAAGUGCUACAGUGUGGACCCAGAGUGGCACCUCAGUCUCUUCAUUGAUACUCUCCCAUGUCACGGCUCAGUGCUGCGUGCACUGCCUCACGUGAGUAGCUUUACUCUCCUGAGAAGAGCCAUGCACUUCAGUCGGGCCAUUUAUCCUAACAAGAGCUUGCAGAAUUGGGUCUUUUCAGUAAGGCACUUAAAGAGGCUUUUUCAAGCCGUUAGGAUUUCAGGACAUCAUUUUAAUUGUUGGACAUUUGUAAAGGAUUCCCAUUCCUCCACAAACGCACAUUAAAAAUUAUCUGUUCUCCUACUAAUGCUUUCGCUUAAGUACAAACAUAUAUGUCUGGUUUAUAUUUGUCUGAAAUUUCUGGGUAAAUGAUGAAAUAAGACGUCCAUAAUGUGACACAACACUCAUUUAAAAUGUGGUCAUGGGCGAGAGAGAACAGAGUGUACGCAUUUUCUUUUUCAGUACAGCAGCACAGUGACUCACCAAAGCCAUUUUGGAAACACUAAUGAAAUUUUAAAUCUUAAGGUGUGCAAUUUUAUAUGGCAGCACCGCAAAAGACUGUGCCUCUUAUUAUCGCGAGUUGUGCACCACUAGGAAAAAAAAAAAAGCAGCGACAAGAGAUGUACAUAACGUAACUAAAUAAAGCCAAAAUCUGUGUAAAUCUUCUCA
rnacentral:lncRNA from 1 species